CUGGGCGUAUGAGAUCAUUCCCAUAUUGGGUACCCACAUUGCGUGGCGAGGGGAGACACGCUGUCCUACAGGGAAACAAUUAUCGACUUUCUUCGACGACCCUCAUGUGCGGAAUGAUAUGGUUUUAUUUUUUUAAAAUGUCAAUAGGUCAGUUUGAAGUAAUAACUCAUUUGACAUUGUCGAUGGAGGAGGAGGUGCAGGGUCUUGUGCGUGAAAUAGCGGUUCCGCACACCCAAGAAUACCAGAUGUCCGAUUCGAUUCUUGAUCGAGACUGGGACCGGGAGCCAGUUGAUCGGGCAUCACCUCCACCCAGGGCAUCAUCUCCUCCCCAUCAGGGUGAUUAUUCUAAUGAUUUGUACUAUUGCCUGAUUGGAUUUAUGGUGCAGAAGAUCGGCGCGUUGCGUCGAGAACUGAUAGGAGUUAUAUUAGAGGAGGUCGCUUGCUGUGUCGAGAUAUAGUGGAGCGGGUCGACGAUCUGGGAUGCUAAUUGGUAGGAAGGGUUGAGGAUAUAGUUGAUGAUGUUAGAGUGCUACGUGGGCAUUUAGGGGACCUUCAGGAUGAGGUGAUAGCACUCCGAGGUGAUAUAGCAAGCAAAAGAUGGGGUGACGAAGGUGACGACCGAGGGGUGAUUAAGAGGAGGAUAGAGACGGGGACCAUUAGUAGUGGUCAGAGGAUGCAUUGGAAUCCUCGAGGGCAGGGGAGGGGGUGGUCCCAUCGAGGACGGGAACGACAGUUGAGGAGGUGGUGCCGACAGGGGACGGAUGAGGGGGUUAAGGAGGUGGUGAUGAUGGGGUGGAUGAGAAGGGGUAGGACCGUCAGGGAUGGAGCUAUGGUUGAAGAGGUGGUGGCGACGGGGGCGUAGGAGAAGGCGAGCGUGGAGGAAGUGGCUAUCGUCGGGGCGGAGGAGUGGGCGAUCCCCGAGAUGGACGAGGGGAGGACGACCAUCGUGACUAAGGUGGCGAAAAAGCAUGUUGUUGACAUGUUAGAGCUGGUGGUAGGCAAGAGGCCAAGAGUGUCAUCACAGUACAUUGUCUCUCCCUUCACGGUUGAGAUGAAUAGGAGGAGGUUCGUCGAUGGGACGAUCCCCAACCUAUUUCAGGAGGUGGACCAUGCCAAAUGGAAAGCGUUCGAGAUGGAGUGGAGAAGAAUGUUGCCCGAGACCAGCCAUACAAUCGGUACUGUGAUGAUCUUCGAUCCUUCUAAGUGGUUCGAAAAAGCGUGCUGUUGACGUUUCGGAGCUGGUGGUAGGCAAGAGGUGGAGAGUACCGUCACAGUACAUUGUCUUUCGCUUCACGUCUGAGAUGAAGAAAAGGAGGUUCGUCGAUGGGACGAUCCUCAACCUAUUUGGGAAAGCGAAUCAUAUUAAAUGGAAAGCGUUCAAGACGGAGUGGAGAAGAAUAUUGCCUGGGACCAGCCAUACAAUCGGUACUGUGAUGAUCUUCGAUGCUUAUAACUGGUUCCACGAUAUCAUCACUUCAGGAGCUUGGCUUGACGACGAUAUAAGUGAAGUAGUCAUAUUGUUAUUUUUUAUGACUUGUAUAUCAUUGUUUGUUUAUGCAAUGAAAUACUCCCUUUUGUAUUGUUAUUUUUUAAUGUAGCAUAUCGACCUGGCCAUGGACUUGUUGCGUAAUCGGGUUCAGAAAUAUUCGGGGUCAUUUGACAGUCCUGGUCGAGUCAUAUUGAAUUUGGAGUUCGGACAAAGCGUUGACAUUGAGUACCAGUCGCUCCAACAUGCCAAGAAGGAGUACAUGAUGCCCGACUACAUGCUCGAGUGGACCAUAGGGACAUGGCUACGUGUCGGGAGAAAGUCAUGGGAGGGUUGUACACAUACAUACCAAUGAGAGUGAAUCAUCACUGCAUAGCUUUGGAGAUUAUGUUGGCUGAGUCUACUAUAUAUGUAUACGACCCCGAUUAUUCAUAUCUGACACAGGGUCAGUUCAAGUAAAAUCUAGAGAUGCGGGAUUGAUUGUGAAGGGCUCUAACUGUCGUGCGGGACAGGACGACAACGAGGCAGACAAUAUUGGGCAAUUGUGCCAUUUUUGCAAUAAAAAGUAUAUCGAAUUUUUUAGUAUAGUACAUAAGGUUGAUGGAAUCAACUAAUUCGGAUACAGAGUUGAUGGAAUAAGUUGACAUGCGACUUAUUCUACUUCAAUGAUGAUCCAUAAAUUUAUUGUAAUUAUUGUAGAAUAAAUGUCCUUUGAAAUAUCGUAGAAUAAAUGUAAAUAUUGUUUAUUUCAGAUGGACAACAUUACAAAAUAACUGUCAUUUAGAGGAACAUGACUUGUACAAUAUUGGUGAAUAUGUCCUAUUGAUUUGCA